GCCAGAGUCUUAGCUGCCUGGACUCAGUUCUGUUUGAGAGAUAAGAAGAGUUGCAUCUCUCUUUCAUGAAUCGAACACAAAUCAGGGACAGAGGAUCGAAAGGAUUCAGAUUUAUUGUGUGGAUUCACCUUUUAUGAAACCAUCUUCACAGUGUUUUCUCAUCUGCAUGUUUCUGUAUCUUCCACAGCUUGGUGACUUUGUCUUUACAUGCAGUGUCUACCUCAGCUUUCUUUAGCUCCUCACUCAGCUGUAUUGGUGUGUCCUGGUCUUGCCUUUACCUGGUUUCACACAUGCUGCACAUGGUUGUAUUCCCCUUUAUCAAAUCAGUGUUGCAUGUAUUUUCCUUGCCCAUUGUGAUAGUUUAUGCGACUGUCCUUAGUUUCUCUUUAUAUUUUAUAUUUUAAAUCAAAUAUUUGUAUGAUUUUUUAAAAUUAAAAAUUGGAUUCAACAACGUAAAUGUUCCCAUUUGCUUUAUCAUUCAUGAUGAAAAACAUUAACAAGAUGUGAUAGAUAAAUGUUUGAUGUCCGAGUUCAACCCUCCCGCCUCCCUCCCUCUGAAAACAAACACACAUGUUAAAACACGCUCCAAUUUAAUCUCAUGAGGUUUGAAACUGAAGUCUUCUGCUCUUUUGGAAAUUUUCACCGUCCUUUAGACAAUUAAAAAAUAUCUAAGUGUGUAACUUCUGCAUCUCUCUGCUGGACUUCACUGUCUCUCUGCUUCCUGUUUGUCUCUGCAGACCAGAUAUUCAUCACAGCUGAGUCUGGACAGAAGAAUGUCACUCUGCCAUGUCGAGCUCCAAAUAACAAUAUCAGAAUCAUUGGUGUAGAGCUGAGCAGAGCUGACCACAUGUAUAUGUGCUUUUGUACAGGGAUGAGCUGUUUGAUCCAGACAACCAGCAUCCAUCUUUUAAGAACUGGGUGCAGGACAGACAGAUGAAGGAUGGAGACGUGUCUUUGAUUCUGAAGGAUGUGACGAUUAAUGAUUAAUGAUACUGGAACAUACAAGUGGCAGGUGUUCAUGAGAGGAACAAACAUGAGGAAGAGGAACACGAUUGUAGAUCUGCACAAGGUGGUUUCCACUAUUGUUGUCACUCUCACAAAACUGAUGAGGUCUCCCAGAUUAUCUCCAUUGAAACUAUACAGAGUGCUUUAAAAGAGGUUAUCUAUUCACAUUUAAAUCUAAAUGAAAAUCAUCAAGAGUAAAUCAAAUCAAUAUGAUGGAUAGGAGGCUGAGUAAUGAAAUGGUUCUAAUGUGUGAGUUUUUUGUCCGAGUUUGUGGCCUCCAAGAGAUCCUGCGUCUCGAGAAGAUCCAGAUUCUCUGUGAUGCAGGUGGAGUAAGACACUACAUCAUGGAGUGUAGACUGGAAAACUGGAAAAGUGUGAACUGGAACAGACAGACAAAUGUGAACUUUGAGAAAGAAGUUAUAUUAAGUAUAUUGUCAUAUACAAACACACAGUCAUGAAGUGUAGUAUGUGCAAUUUAAAUUAUGUUAAAAAAUGCAGCAAAUAAACAGAAUGAGAGCAUAUCCAUGUUUAAUUGAGCUGAUGAUAAAUCCUGUUGAAUGACAGAAAUGUUAAUACUCUGUAAAUGUAUAAUCAUGGAUGAGAAUAAUUUACCCAGUGUAUUGAAAUGAUUGUGCCACUUUAACAUUUGCUCUAGUUUGUCCAGGUGAAAAGUUAUAGAGCGAGGGCAACAGGCUCCACAUGACAUGAUAUAGACAUCAUCUGAUCUGGCAGCUUUACAGUGGAACUGCACUGACAUGAUCAUGAACAUGAUGCGUCUUCACGCCUAAAUAUGCUCGCCCUUCUCUCUCUCAUUCCUUCUAAGAUCACUGUUAGAAAUCAGCAUUAGCUCAGAGCAGAUAAGUCAGGUUACAGUAUAUUUCAAGUAAUUUGACAUCUGAUUAUUAUUAUUGGCAAAUUAAGAUAUCCUACAUUAAAAAAUGUCUGAUUUUUGGACUUUCAUUUUUAAUUCUUUGCAAAACACUGAACGUUAAGGUUUAGAAGAGCUUGACAAAACAGUAUUUUUGUAUUAAGCUGUAAACAUGUUUAUUUCUGCUGUUAGUUGUGGGGACUGAGUCACUUUUGGAGCCUCAUGUGGACUUUAAAAGGAACUGCAGCUUGUAGCACUGCUGCCUCAGCUGAUGGUUGCUUCAAACUAACAGUCAGAUUGUAUCAAUGGACCAAAGUUUUAAUGAAGCUUGUAUGUCAAGUAAUUUGUAAUGUGUGGUAAAAGUGCACAGAGAAAAAAAAGAAAACAAGUUUGAACCCAAUCACCAAAUCUUAUAAAAUAUUUACUCCUGAAUAACUCCAUGUAAUCCUUUUCCCCAAGUUUCUCACAACACUUGAUAUUGGGGUUACCCCACCUGUCAAAUCCCACUAGGCUACCAGAUGUUUUUGCCUUUAACUCCCUCUGUGACCUCAGCCACACAGAUGAAGUUCCUGACAAUACAGUUUAUUUUCUAAAACAGCUGAUCUCUGUUUUCUUGAACAAGAAAUAAUAAAAUUCUUGAUCCUUUAUGGAUGUUUUUAUUUAUUUAUUUAUCUUGUAAUGAGUGUUUGUGGCAGCAUGAUUUUGUGUGUAGCAUCUCCAACUGAAAAGAUGGUCUCUUAAACUGAUGCUUCACAAUCCUUUUUUCAAACGGCCGUGUAUGUGAACACACCCGCAGAGCUACAACAAAAGACCAUUAGUAACUCAAGCAGUGUGUUACCUUUUCCCUCAUUUUUAAUCAUAAACAAAUUGUCUUUACCUUAAAUUAUUAGACCUUUCAAUUCUUGACAAUCUUCACAUUGAGUGCUAUUGCCAUACAUAUUUACUAAAUUCUUCCAACCUUAAGCCUUUUACCUUUUCUAUACCACUGAAUAAAAUGCAAUUGUCAAACUUCUUUUGACCUUACAUAGAAUAUAACAGUGAAUCUUGAAAACCUUUGCAUCGCUAAGCUAAAUGUUGU
ensembl:lncRNA